AGGGCAGCCUGGCCCAGGAAGCAGUCCUGAC
rnacentral:piRNA from 1 species